rnacentral:rRNA from 1 species
GACGAACGCUGGCGGCGUGCUUAACACAUGCAAGUCGAACGAAAAGGCCCUGCUUUUGUGGGGUGCUCGAGUGACCAACGGGUGAGUAACACGUAAGUAACCUGCACCUGACUUUGGGAUAACUUAAGGAAACUGGGGCUCAUCCCGCCUAGGAGCUCUUGCUGCUUGGUGGGGGUUGGAAGGUUUCGGCGGUUGGUGAUGGACUCGCGGCUUAUCGGCUUGAUGGUGGGGUAGUGGCUUACCAAGGCUUUGACGGGUAGCCGGCCUGAGAGGGUGACCGGCCAAAUUGGGACUGAGCUGCGGCCCAGACUACUACGGGAGGCAGAAGUGGAGAAGAGAGCACUAGGGGCGGAAGCCUGAUGUAGCAACGCCGCGUGGGGGGUGUCGGCCUUCGGGUUGUAUACCGCUUCCGCCUGUGACGAAGCGUGAGUGACGGUAAUGGGUAAAGAAGCACCGGCUAACUACGUG